UACGAAGGGGGCUAGCGUUGCUCGGAUUGACUGGGCGUAAAGGGCGCGUAGGCGGUUCGUACAGUCAGACGUGAAAUUCCUGGGCUCAACCUGGGGACUGCGUUUGAUACGUGCGGGCUUGAGUGCGGAAGAGGGUCGUGGAAUUCCCAGUGUAGAGGUGAAAUUCGUAGAUAUUGGGAAGAACACCGGUGGCGAAGGCGGCGACCUGGUCCGAUACUGACGCUGAGGCGCGAAAGCGUGGGGAGCAAACAGG
rnacentral:rRNA from 1 species